ensembl:lncRNA
UUGCCUUGGAACGUUCGCAUUGCAUCGUCGCUCACUACGUUCCCUUACUGGAAAUAACAUCAUGUUUUCUGAAGCCUCUCAGCUCGAAAACAAAUGGGGACGAACUCUCAGCCAACUUCCGACUACAAAUAUUUGUCCUGAUUUGGAUGUUGUGGCUGGGGAAACCAAAGAGGAAGGCAUAUCAUGCAAAUGUCACGUCAUCAGCUCGGGCCACCAGCCUAAAAUAUUGGAUGCAUUUUGCUUCCAGCUGUCUGUAGGGCAAAUGCUGCUCCGCUGACCCGAGAUCAUCCUGACUGUGCUGUUUUAGUGGUUACUCUGACUCCCAGGGGUCAACAGUGGAUCACUUUCUGCCCUCCAGCAGUGAGAGUAGGUGCUAAUGGUGAGUGAGAGGUGUCGUGUGAGUGUAGAAGACUGACCGUAAAUGCCCAGCACAAGGCUCACGUCUGGGUAAAUGCUUUGUCAGGGUAAGUAAUGCUACCCCACCCUGUCUCCCUUCUCUGCUGUCUAUCCCGCCCAUCAGUUGAGUCAUAACAUAUGUGCACACCCACACACACACACUUACACACCCACAUGCAUACACACGCACUAAGUGACAGUGCCAAUCAUGAUUCACAGGGCUGAGGGUUUGCACUAUAUGCUAGAUUAGCAUUGUGUUCUGGGAAGCCAGUAGACAUCC